AUACACCUGGCAGCGGAGUGGACAAGAAAGCGGAAGAAAGCUGGCCUUACCUGGGCUACCCCAGUGUCGUGCCAGCCUUGAUACAGCGCAAAACCGUCAACGCCAAGGAAUCUGUGUUCUCCAUAAUCAACAAGACGCUAGUAGAGAUGUACUUGCGACGUCAUUGUGCGCCUCUGUUGCUGUGGCUAGUGGUGACGGCCGGUGCUCCCUCAACGACUUCUCUUCACAGUUUUGUCCCCGAGACGCUGUCCUACACACCCACCCACAUAACGACGACGAGAACGAUGACGAUGGCGCCACUCAUAACAACAACACAGAGAAUUACUGUUCCAAGUGACACCUCCUUGGAUGUUGUACCUGUGAUAAUCUACACGGAAGACGACACUAAGACUACAGUGAACGAGCCCGACAAUUGUUGCCUUCAGUGUUCAACGAAAUUUUUUAUUACCGUAGCAUCUACUACUACUACUACUACUGUCACUGUUUAUAGUCUCAUUACUACUUCUCCUGUACCUUCUUUACGUGGUACUGCUUCUAGUCCUACUCCCACUGUACAGCCUAAACCCGAGUUUAUUGAUGCUCCAUGUUUAUGUGACCAAUGUUCUGCAGUUGCACAGCGUAGCCCUUGUGUGUGUGUCAAGAGAUAUGGCUGUGGAAUCGAGCCUGUAAAAUAAUAUAUCACACGGAUUAUGAUGGUUAGUGUAGAGAAAACCCGCCCCUAUGUUAGCGGAUGUCAGACAAAUCAAUUUCUUAAGGUGAUUAGCAGAAUGGAUGUUUUUUUUUUGUCUGCUAAAAAGUAUUGCACACGUGUUUGGCCAAAUGUGAGAUGACUAUUUACAAAGUUGAUUUACACGUUCUAUAAAAUGGUGGUCUUAAAAAAAAAAUGUGAUACCAAUUAUGUUUAAUUUGUGUUCUUAUUUUAUAUCACUGUUAUGUAGACAUUAGUUGAAUUAUUACUUCCAUUAAUAAAUAAAUGUUACAAGUGAUAUAUUCACAUACUGUGUUAAUUUAUUUCCAUGACUCUCUACAGAAUAAAUUUACCGUACAAAAUAUUAUACAAAUAUUCCAAAUUUAUAUAUAUAUAAAGAUCACUGGUGGUGUUGUGAUGGUUUUCUGUUGGUGGACUACGGCGGUAGUGAUUGGCCAUCUCAACCCAGACCUGCUACCAGAGCUGCCAUUUCUAUCAGGGUUUUGGUUGUUGUAUAAAGUACGUGUAUUUAAUGUUUAAAGUAAGAAUAAUAUGGUAAUAUUCUGGUGCAUUUUGAUAAUUGUAUAUUUCGCUUAAUUGUUAUGUAAUGUACCUAAUUAACAAUAUUAAUCAAUACUUAAUAAUAUAAAUGUUAUUAAAUUUCUCAGUUUACUAAAUAAUCUUCUUAACCGUUUCACAACUUAAAUUUGUCGUCACGAUAAUUGAUUCGUGUGUGGGUGCUCCAUACUUGUUGCAUCCACGUAUUUCAACCCUAGAUUAUUCACUCCUUAUUGUAACUUGUCAACUUUGCCUUUCCUCAUUGUUGUGGGUAGCAAGGAGGGAAAUCACAUAAUCAAUAUCAAUUGAAUGUUGCAAUGGGGGGCUGGGCUUGUACCGUCAACUAUAAAAAAUCCCGGCUGUAGGUGUGGUGUCGAUAUUAAUAUCUAUGUUAAGAAGUUAAAAUAGGUUCACUCCAGUUGCCGUCACCUCUUAACUUCAGAAUUAUAGUCUUAUAGGAAGAACAAAAACGGAAUUGGAUAUAUAAUUCAUGUAUAUCCAAUUUCAUAUUAUCUCGUGCGUCUGGCAGCGGAUGGGAGCUACACAGUGACUGUAAGUGGGUAAACAUCCGCACCUUUUAAUUCUUGACAGGCCAGGACGUGUAGCACGUUGCCUUUAGAUCUUAUUCUUUGUUGUGACUCCACCAGAGACAGUAAAGGUGAACAUGGUGAGUCAGCUUUUGUCUCUACUGGUGGUGGUGGUGACGACCGCUGGCGCCUACCCAGAAACAACUUCCUCCUACCAAGACAAUCUUCCACCUGCUCCACUGUGGACAUCUGCCGUGACCACAAAGGUGAAACAAACAUUCCUCACAACAGUAACACAAACAGUAACUGUAGGGUGUGACGCCUUACCCAAUAAAAACGUCUUAAGAACACUCAUGAAACUCAAGAAAGAGAUGCUCCCUACUAGUUGCACCUGCGACGGUUCUACCAGAGUACCUGAGUUGUCACCUUCCCAUGUCACCUCUGAGUUGGCCCAAGAGAGACUCAAGAGAGACAUUUCGAACCAAGUAUUCCAGAAGGUAGUUACGUUAAAUAAUGGCAGAAGUUACUUGAAGAGGUGCUCGUUUCAGGAAGUUACUCACGGGGCCACGUCACUUAAUGGAGUCUUUGAAUCCACCUGUACAGUAACCUCGACUGUGAUAAGCGUGACAACAGUGUAUCAAACGAUUGCUGCUACUGUCAUUCACGCGCCCUGUUCCUGCGGCUUGUGCUCCUACCUGAUAAAAGAAGAUCCAUGUGAGUGUGUUGGAGUGGCUGGCUGCGGCAUCAUACCUGUAUAGAGAGGAUCAGUAAUGCAGUAAGGCGCCUGACCCUCAUACUAACACAAUACGUCAGAGAAUUCAUUGAUACAUUAGAUUUUAUGGAUUAAAAGGAAUAUGAAAUAAUCAAUAUAUAUUUAUAACGAAAACUACACAACUACACACCGCGUUCAUGCACCUGUAUACGAAGUCGACCAUUCACUUGAUCACAAUAUAUCCUUAAAUGUCUAGAUGUUGUAUUUAUCUCUCCAUAUAAGACUAAUAAAUAAUCUGUAAAGUGAUCUACAAGGGCACACUACACAGACAAUAUACACGGUUCAACUGAUAUAGAGUUCCUGCGGUUGUAAUUCAGAAGAAGGGAAUAUUCCAUAACAUUAUCAUGUGGUCUGGAUAAUCUGACCUAUUGAUUCAUUACUGUAUUAAUCUUGUAAUGUGUUUCAUGCUUAUUAGUUUCCAUUAAGGUUGAUUAAGAUGAUAGAUAAUUAUAAGAACAGUUGCACCACAGUUUAGGAAUAGUUGUAUUACUGAUCCUUGAUAUUUAAUGCAAUAAAACUUAUAAUAACAAGAA
rnacentral:lncRNA from 1 species